rnacentral:pre_miRNA from 1 species
AGUGGGAUAGCUGGGUCAAAUGGUGGUUCCAUUCCAUGUUUUCUAAGGAAUCUGCAUAGUGCUUUCCAUAUUGAUUGUACCAGUUUGUAGUCCCACCAGCAAU